GAUGAACGCUGACAGAAUGCUUAACACAUGCAAGUCGAUGGGGAAGUGGUGCUUGCACCAUGGUAACCAUGGCGGACGGGUGAGUAACGCGUAAGGAACUUACCUGCGGGACCGGGAUAACAGCAGGAAACUGCUGACAAGACCGGAUAAGGUCAUUAAGCUGCAUAGCUUAGUGAUGAAAGGAGACGCCUGCGGAGAGCCUUGCGUCCUAUUAGCUAGUUGGAGGGGUAACGGCCCACCAAGGCGAAGAUAGGUAGCCGGCCGGAGAGGGUGGACGGCCACAAGGGGACUGAGAUACGGCCCUUACUCCUACGGGAGGCAGCAGGGGGGAAUAUUGGACAAUGGGGGCAACCCUGAUCCAGCAAUGCGGUGUGCACGAAGACGGUUUUCGGAUUGUAAAGUGCUUUCAGCAGGGAAGAAGGAAGUGACGGUACCGGCAGAAGAAGCGACGGCUAAAUACGU
rnacentral:rRNA from 1 species